rnacentral:rRNA from 1 species
GUAGGUGGCAAGCGUUGUCCGGAAUUAUUGGGCGUAAAGCGCGCGCAGGCGGGUUCUUUAAGUCUGAUGUGAAAGCCCACGGGCUCAACCGUGGAGGGUCAUUGGAAACUGGAGAACUUGAGUACAGAAGAGGAAAGCGGAAUUCCACGUGUAGCGGUGAAAUGCGUAGAGAUGUGGAGGAACACCAGUGGCGAAGGCGGCUUUCUGGUCUGUAACCGACGCUGAGGCGCGAAAGCGUGGGGAGCAAACAGGAUUAGAUACCCUGGUAGUCCACGCCGUAAACGAUGAGUGCUAAGUGUUAGGGGGUUUCCGCCCCUUAGUGCUGCAGCUAACGCAUUAAGCACUCCGCCUGGGGAGUACGGCCGCAAGGCUG